rnacentral:rRNA from 1 species
CACGUAGGGCGCAAGCGUUGUCUGGAAUUAUUGGGCGUAAAGAGCUCGUAGGUGGUUUGUUACGUCUGCUGUGAAAACCUAGGGCUUAACCCUGGGCUUGCAGUGGAUACGGGCAGACUAGAGGUAGGUAGGGGAGAAUGGAAUUCCUGGUGUAGCGGUGAAAUGCGCAGAUAUCAGGAGGAACACCGGUGGCGAAGGCGGAUCUCUGGGCCUUACCUGACGCUCAGGCGCGAAAGCUAGGGGAGCGAACUGG